rnacentral:rRNA from 1 species
UUUAGUGAUGAUGGCAAAGAGGUCACACCCGUUCCCAUGCCGAACACGGAAGUUAAGCUCUUUAGCGCCGAUGGUAGUUGGGGGUUUCCCCCUGUGAGAGUAGGACGUCGCUAAGC